rnacentral:rRNA from 1 species
CACGUAGGGCGCGAGCGUUGUCCGGAAUUAUUGGGCGUAAAGAGCUCGUAGGCGGCCUGUUGCGUCCGCUGUGAAAGCCCGGGGCUUAACCCCGGGUCGGCAGUGGAUACGGGCAGGCUAGAGGUAGGUAGGGGAGAAUGGAAUUCCCGGUGUAGCGGUGAAAUGCGCAGAUAUCGGGAGGAACACCGGUGGCGAAGGCGGUUCUCUGGGCCGUAACUGACGCUGAGGAGCGAAAGCAUGGGGAGCGAACAGG